AAAUGAUCAGUUGAAAGUACAGUGGGGUUUUUACGCCCAAACUGCGAGUGUCGUGUUCUCCUCAGGGACUAGGCGACGACGACUAUGCUCGACUAAAGCUAGGUGACAGAAUACAAAUGAUGAUUGCAAGGAAAUAAACCUAAACUAAACAUGGUAGUUCCUAAAGAUCAUCGCCAAAGAAAAUGCAAAAUAAGCAAAGAGAUAUUCAGAUUUUCUAUACUCUCUUUUUGGCAAUUUCCAUAUUACUCAAAGAAUUUAAUGCUAACACAAGAAAACAUACGGCUAGGAAAUUAAAAAGACAAGAACAUAUAUAUAACUAUCUAACAUGAACAGUGGGAAGAAACAAGAACUUGAGCUAAUACAUGGACUACAAAACUGAAUAUAUUUCUGCAGAAAAGGGAAGACACUGUGACGACACAUACAUGAACUGGAAUUACGUAAAUUCAGUGCAAGUGACAAGCAUACAUGUACCACACGGUUGACAAAUAUAACAUUCACGAACUUAUUUUAUAUAGAUGCAUGAACUAGUCAGAUCCCAGCAAACAGCUGUUUACAUGUACUCUUCAAAUCUGAACCUUACAAGUCUUGAACAUCUCUCAAUACUAUAGAAUUUCAGAGAGAGAGAGAGAGAGAAGGCAACAGCAGGAGGUUGAGAGAGAAGAAGCAGUAGCAGGGGGCGUUGAGAGGAGGGAGAAGGAGCAGCGGGGCAAAGGAAGAUGGAGUAGCAGCAACGACUUGGAGUUUGGAGAUGGAGAAGGAGCAGAACAACAGCGUGGUAGGGGAAAGUAGAAGAGCAGCAGCAAUAGGGAUUCAGAGAGGAGGCGAGCUUGGAGAAGGAUAGCAGCAGGGAGAGUUGUAGAUGAGCAGCAGCAGUAGCGCGGGGGAGAAGGAGCAGCAGACAGGGAUUCAGAGAAGCGAGGAAGAAGGGAAGAAGAAGCAGCGGCGGUGUGUCUGGCCGGGCACGCCAGCUGGAGGGAGAGGUCGCGCGAGGUGGGCACUGGUGGUUGGCGCUGUGAUGGAUGGAUGAUGGUGUGGGUGGUGGAUGGCGCGGGUGAUGGUGGAGCAACGAGGUCGCCGAAGCGCGUCGCCACGAUGGCCUGGCCGCGGCGGCGGCCGGAGGUGGGAGAAGAAGUGGUGAGGGGGAGAGAGAUGGAGAUGCCAGCUCCCUUUGGGAAUGGAGGCUGCUAGGGAUUUUGAUCCCCUCCGAUCAGAUCUGAAUGUUUUCACUUUGGCCCUCCUCCUUCCUUCUUUUGGCACAAGAUGUUCCCUCCACUUCUUAAGCUAGCCCCCCUAAGCUUUAAUCUUCUUCAAGCUUGAGUCCCUCUUUCUUCUCUUCUUGCCCGUGAUCUUGUUCCUCAAUUCUUUCUAGACAGGAACUUGUAGAUUAUAGUGCCUUGUCGCACUUUUCUGCAAAAGAAACACAAUGACUAGUAAAUGAUUCAUUAUAUGAUUUCCAUGCAAAUAUUCAAUAUUUCACAUCAAGAAUUAAUGGUCAUAUCUCAAUAAACCGCAUAUUUGAGUGCCAAAAGAUGUAUAUGAAAUGUGCUUAUCAAGUUCCCCCACACUUAAAUCUUUGCUUGUCCUCAAGCAAAGGCAUAUGACAAAAGCAAGAACAUGAACAGUGAACUGACUAGAGAAUGUCAAGUGAAGUAGAUCUCUAAACAAUGCAUGCUUUGGACUUGGCUAGUGAAAAUUAAUGGUUAAGAGUGCUACAUAUCAAUAGGACACUAGUAAACUCGACCAUUUUAAACUUUUGCAAUGAUAAACGAAGAUUAGCAAGUUCAAAUGCUGAUUGUGCCAAAGGGUUCCUAAAGAGAGCAUGAUCCCAAAAAAAAACUUAUUACCCGGAACAUAACAUUAUGGUAGAAGCACUUAUUGAAUUUGAAGGAAGUAAUGGUAAUAUUUUAUUGAUCUCACCAAUGGAACAUACCACCGAUCCCAAGAACAUGGUAUACACCCGGCUUGGCCAAUUAUUAGUUUUUUUUAGUUUGUCUCCCCAAAGGAACAUACCACCGAUCCCGAGAACAUGGUGUACACCUGGUUCGACAAUUACAUUUCUAUAAUUAUUAAUUACUGCCCAAGCUAACCUGAUUUCACAUGCCACCGAUCCCGGGAACAUGACAUGCUACUGUAGGUAGCCAGACUUAUUUAUUCAUUAUUACUUAUCUUAAAUGAACAACACAUAAGAACAAAAACAGGAAUCAUCACUUCUCCAUGUCUGGUUCACAUGCUACCGAUCCAGGGAACAUAGCAUGCUAAUCCAUAGUGGUUAGGUGAUUGCUCUCAAUGGGAAGACACUUGGCACAAAUUCAGCAUCUAAACAUGGUGAUCUAGGUGUAUCAUAGUAAAUGCAGAAAAUGACGAAGUUUUCUAGUGUACUAGGGAUUUGAGCACUCAAAACUAGUAGUUCUCACUAAUUUUAGCAAAGCAUGCAUGGUGUAGAUCACUAGUUUACAAGGCAUCCAAAAAUCAAGUUCACAAAUUCACAUCAAGCACAAUGCCAAAGGUGAGAUUCAGCUUGACAACAAGUAAUAACUGGCUCAAGCAACCCAACUAGCAAUUGAAUUCAGCAUGUAUUUAUGAUAUUCAGAAUGGGUCAUGAAACAGCUCACCGGGCUUAAUGAAGUAGCACUCGCUUGAUCACCUCACCAACUGCAGCUCUUCUCCUUUUCCUUCCUUAUGGAUGCUCCAGCUUCACUCUUCUUCGUGUGUGCCCCAUUGCUUCUCCUCAUCGCCAUGCUCUGACUCCACCAGGAUCCCAAGGAAUGUCACCUCAAACCUGGUCAGCAUGUAGUAAACAGUGCAGUAGCAAAAGCCUGAAAUAGGACUCACACAAACAACUAUAAGUGAUACGGUCGAUGCCCUCCAAGUCAUCAAUGGUAUAUCCAAUUAUAUAAGCAUAACUAUAAAGCACAUGUUUAGGAUGGCAGAAAUCAGCAUGGUCAAUACUCACACGAGGAUGACAUUUAUCAUUAAGCUCAAGACUAGCAUGGAAAUGAUGUGUUUCAUUAAGCAUAGGACUAGCACGAGGAAAGUAACUAUGAUCAUCGCAAAUGAGAGUAAUGCCACUAACAGGGUAUAUAUCAUCAUAUCCAAGCAAAUGAGUUUUCAAAUCAAUCUUAAGUGAUGGUAUCAUGUAAUGCAAGGUGGUAGCAAAGAAAUCACAAGGCAUCAUGUCAUCAAGAGGAUUGAGUAAACCUGACACAUCACGCUCUGGUAUGACAAUAGGCAAAUGAAUCUCAUGUUCUUCAUCUUCAUCUACAGCAGCUUCUUGUACUUCUUCAGGAGUAAUAGAUGAUGAGUCUUCAACUUGAUCACUUGGGAAUUGCAGCUCUUGACCAUCUUGUUCCUUGUCUUCUAGUUCAUCUUCUUCAAUCUGAGGUAUCUCUUGCUCAAGGCACUUGCUAUCUUGCUCAACGAAAUGUGAAGGUGCUGGAACCUCACAUGUAACCAUGGAUAUCUCAGCCACACUCAACUCAAGUUGUGAAGAAAUAGUGCUGCCAGCGUUGAUGUUCUUCUCAAUCUUCCUUACUUCUUCCACUAGCUCUUUUCCACUCUUGAUCUUCUUCAUUUCAUCUAGUAUAACCUUCCUAAUAGGAUCAUCCUCGGCACUCCAACUAAACUCGAGACUAAGCAAUGUGAUCUUUCUAUAUCAUCAAAUUCAUCUUGUGUGGGCACUUGCACAUGAGAUUGCUCGAAAGGUGCUGGAGUUGUUGGUUGACCAAAUGGAGGACCAUUUAACUCCAUUGGACACAUCUCCUGGUAUUGAGGUAUAUGAGUAGGAGGUGAAUAAAUCUAUUGUGGAGCAUAGUUGUGGUUCUCCUCAUUGUACCUGAAUCCCUGCAUUGGAUAACUAGAGGCAAACGAUGAGAUCUCAGGGUUAUUGCUCCUAUAUGACAUAUUCUGGUUUUUAGGCCACCCAUGUGUGUAAUUGUUUUGGUAUGAGUUAGGCAGUGGGGCGAAGCUCAUGCCAUAACAAUCGGGAGGAUGGGAGUAACCACACUGACAUUCAGCGGGCGAAUGGCCCUGAAAUCCACAAAUAUGGCAGGUAGGAGCAACAUAAGGAUGGCCUCUGGAAUUAGGAUCGUAAGAACUAGGCCUAUCCUCAAAAACUCCUUCUCGCUGUCGAGCUAAAUCAUCUAAUCGAUGGGAAAUCUUACCUAUCAGUUCUUAAACACUUUCCGUGUUGUUUGUAGUGUUGCUCGCAUAAGCCUGAUGAUCUGAAUAGUAAGCCAUAACCGAGAGGAUAAUCCAACCUGCAAAAAGGAAAAGAAGACAAAAAGAUACUAACUAGAACAGGGGUUAGUGGCUAGAGAUAUAUCACAAAUAUAUAAAGCACAAAAAGGAAACAAGCUAAACCUAGUCUAAAGCCUAGCACAAUCGCUCGAUGCUAGUCCCCGGCAACGGUGCCAAAAUGAUCAGUUGAAAGUACAGUGGGGUUUUUACGCCCAAACUGCGAGUGUCGUGUUCUCCUCAGGGACUAGGCGACAAUGACUAUGCUCGACUAAAGCUAGGUGACAGAAUACAAAUGAUGAUUGCAAGGAAAUAAACCUAAACUAAACAUGGUAGUUCCUAAAGAUCAUCGCCAAAGAAAAUGCAAAAUAAGCAAAGAGAUAUUCAGAUUUUCUAUACUCUCUUUUUGGCAAUUUCCAUAUUACUCAAAGAAUUUAAUGCUAACACAAGAAAACAUACGGCUAGGAAAUUAAAAAGACAAGAACAUAUAUAUAACUAUCUAACAUGAACAGUGGGAAGAAACAAGAACUUGAGCUAAUACAUGGACUACAAAACUGAAUAUAUUUCUGCAGAAAAGGGAAGACACUGUGACGACACAUACAUGAACUGGAAUUACGUAAAUUCAGUGCAAGUGACAAGCAUACAUGUACCACACGGUUGACAAAUAUAACAUUCACGAACUUAUUUUAUAUAGAUGCAUGAACUAGUCAGAUCCCAGAAAACAAACACUAUAUUAUACAAGUACUAAACAGAGCAAACAGCUGUUUACAUGUACUCUUCAAAUCUGAACCUUACAAGUCUUGAACAUCUCUCAAUACUAUAGAAUUUCAGAGAGAGAGAGAGAGAAGGCAACAGCAGGAGGUUGAGAGAGAAGAAGCAGUAGCAGGGGGCGUUGAGAGGAGGGAGAAGGAGCAGCGGGGCAAAGGAAGAUGGAGUAGCAGCAACGACUUGGAGUUUGGAGAUGGAGAAGGAGCAGAACAACAGCGUGGUAGGGGAAAGUAGAAGAGCAGCAGCAAUAGGGAUUCAGAGAGGAGGCGAGCUUGGAGAAGGAUAGCAGCAGGGAGAGUUGUAGAUGAGCAGCAGCAGUAGCGCGGGGGAGAAGGAGCAGCAGACAGGGAUUCAGAGAAGCGAGGAAGAAGGGAAGAAGAAGCAGCGGCGGUGUGUCUGGCCGGGCACGCCAGCUGGAGGGAGAGGUCGCGCGAGGUGGGCACUGGUGGUUGGCGCUGUGAUGGAUGGAUGAUGGUGUGGGUGGUGGAUGGCGCGGGUGAUGGUGGAGCAACGAGGUCGCCGAAGCGCGUCGCCACGAUGGCCUGGCCGCGGCGGCGGCCGGAGGUGGGAGAAGAAGUGGUGAGGGGGAGAGAGAUGGAGAUGCCAGCUCCCUUUGGGAAUGGAGGCUGCUAGGGAUUUUGAUCCCCUCCGAUCAGAUCUGAAUGUUUUCACUUUGGCCCUCCUCCUUCCUUCUUUUGGCACAAGAUGAUCCCUCCACUUCUUAAGCUAGCCCCCCUAAGCUUUAAUCUUCUUCAAGCUUGAGUCCCUCUUUCUUCUCUUCUUGCCCGUGAUCUUGUUCCUCAAUUCUUUCUAGACAGGAACUUGUAGAUUAUAGUGCCUUGUCGCACUUUUCUGCAAAAGAAACACAAUGACUAGUAAAUGAUUCAUUAUAUGAUUUCCAUGCAAAUAUUCAAUAUUUCACAUCAAGAAUUAAUGGUCAUAUCUCAAUAAACCGCAUAUUUGAGUGCCAAAAGAUGUAUAUGAAAUGUGCUUAUCAAGUUCCCCCACACUUAAAUCUUUGCUUGUCCUCAAGCAAAGGCAUAUGACAAAAGCAAGAACAUGAACAGUGAACUGACUAGAGAAUGUCAAGUGAAGUAGAUCUCUAAACAAUGCAUGCUUUGGACUUGGCUAGUGAAAAUUAACGGUUAAGAGUGCUACAUAUCAAUAGGACACUAGUAAACUCGACCAUUUUAAACUUUUGCAAUGAUAAACGAAGAUUAGCAAGUUCAAAUGCUGAUUGUGCCAAAGGGUUCCUAAAGAGAGCAUGAUCCCAAAAAAAACUUAUUACCCGGAACAUAACAUUAUGGUAGAAGCACUUAUUGAAUUUGAAGGAAGUAAUGGUAAUAUUUUAUUGAUCUCACCAAUGGAACAUACCACCGAUCCCGAGAACAUGGUAUACACCCGGCUUGGCCAAUUAUUAGUUUUUUUUAGUUUGUCUCCCCAAAGGAACAUACCACCGAUCCCGAGAACAUGGUAUACACCUGGUUCGACAAUUACAUUUCUAUAAUUAUUAAUUACUGCCCAAGCUAACCUGAUUUCACAUGCCACCGAUCCCGGGAACAUGACAUGCUACUGUAGGUAGCCAGACUUAUUUAUUCAUUAUUACUUAUCUUAAAUGAACAACACAUAAGAACAAAAACAGGAAUCAUCACUUCUCCAUGUCUGGUUCACAUGCUACCGAUCCAGGGAACAUAGCAUGCUAAUCCAUAGUGGUUAGGUGAUUGCUCUCAAUGGGAAGACACUUGGCACAAAUUCAGCAUCUAAACAUGGUGAUCUAGGUGUAUCAUAGUAAAUGCAGAAAAUGACGAAGUUUUCUAGUGUACUAGGGAUUUGAGCACUCAAAACUAGUAGUUCUCACUAAUUUUAGCAAAGCAUGCAUGGUGUAGAUCACUAGUUUACAAGGCAUCCAAAAAUCAAGUUCACAAAUUCACAUCAAGCACAAUGCCAAAGGUGAGAUUCAGCUUGACAACAAGUAAUAACUGGCUCAAGCAACCCAACUAGCAAUUGAAUUCAGCAUGUAUUUAUGAUAUUCAGAAUGGGUCAUGAAACAGCUCACCGGGCUUAAUGAAGUAGCACUCGCUUGAUCACCUCACCAACUGCAGCUCUUCUCCUUUUCCUUCCUUAUGGAUGCUCCAGCUUCACUCUUCUUCGUGUGUGCCCCAUUGCUUCUCCUCAUCGCCAUGCUCUGACUCCACCAGGAUCCCAAGGAAUGUCACCUCAAACCUGGUCAGCAUGUAGUAAACAGUGCAGUAGCAAAAGCCUGAAAUAGGACUCACACAAACAACUAUAAGUGAUACGGUCGAUGCCCUCCAAGUCAUCAAUGGUAUAUCCAAUUAUAUAAGCAUAACUAUAAAGCACAUGUUUAGGAUGGCAGAAAUCAGCAUGGUCAAUACUCACACGAGGAUGACAUUUAUCAUUAAGCUCAAGACUAGCAUGGAAAUGAUGUGUUUCAUUAAGCAUAGGACUAGCACGAGGAAAGUAACUAUGAUCAUCGCAAAUGAGAGUAAUGCCACUAACAGGGUAUAUAUCAUCAUAUCCAAGCAAAUGAGUUUUCAAAUCAAUCUUAAGUGAUGGUAUCAUGUAAUGCAAGGUGGUAGCAAAGAAAUCACAAGGCAUCAUGUCAUCAAGAGGAUUGAGUAAACCUGACACAUCACGCUCUGGUAUGACAAUAGGCAAAUGAAUCUCAUGUUCUUCAUCUUCAUCUACAGCAGCUUCUUGUACUUCUUCAGAAGUAAUAGAUGAUGAGUCUUCAACUUGAUCACUUGGGAAUUGCAGCUCUUGACCAUCUUGUUCCUUGUCUUCUAGUUCAUCUUCUUCAAUCUGAGGUAUCUCUUGCUCAAGGCACUUGCUAUCUUCCUCAACGAAAUGUGAAGGUGCUGGAACCUCACAUGUAACCAUGGAUAUCUCAGCCACACUCAACUCAAGUUGUGAAGAAAUAGUGCUGCCAGCGUUGAUGUUCUUCUCAAUCUUCCUUACUUCUUCCACUAGCUCUUUUCCACUCUUGAUCUUCUUCAUUUCAUCUAGUAUAACCUUCCUAAUAGGAUCAUCCUCGGCACUCCAACUAAACUCGAGACUAAGCAAUGUGAUCUUUCUAUAUCAUCAAAUUCAUCUUGUGUGGGCACUUGCACAUGAGAUUGCUCGAAAGGUGCUGGAGUUGUUGGUUGACCAAAUGGAGGACCAUUUAACUCCAUUGGACACAUCUCCUGGUAUUGAGGUAUAUGAGUAGGAGGUGAAUAAAUCUAUUGUGGAGCAUAGUUGUGGUUCUCCUCAUUGUACCUGAAUCCCUGCAUUGGAUAACUAGAGGCAAACGAUGAGAUCUCAGGGUUAUUGCUCCUAUAUGACAUAUUCUGGUUUUUAGGCCACCCAUGUGUGUAAUUGUUUUGGUAUGAGUUAGGCAGUGGGGCGAAGCUCAUGCCAUAACAAUCGGGAGGAUGGGAGUAACCACACUGACAUUCAGCGGGCGAAUGGCCCUGAAAUCCACAAAUAUGGCAGGUAGGAGCAACAUAAGGAUGGCCUCUGGAAUUAGGAUCGUAAGAACUAGGCCUAUCCUCAAAAACUCCUUCUCGCUGUCGAGCUAAAUCAUCUAAUCGAUGGGAAAUCUUACCUAUCAGUUCUUAAACACUUUCCGUGUUGUUUGUAGUGUUGCUCGCAUAAGCCUGAUGAUCUGAAUAGUAAGCCAUAACCGAGAGGAUAAUCCAACCUGCAAAAAGGAAAAGAAGACAAAAAGAUACUAACUAGAACAGGGGUUAGUGGCUAGAGAUAUAUCACAAAUAUAUAAAGCACAAAAAGGAAACAAGCUAAACCUAGUCUAAAGCCUAGCACAAUCGCUCGACGCUAGUCCCCGGCAACGGCGCCAAAAUGAUCAAUUGAAAGUACAGUGGGGUUUUUACGCCCAAACUGCGAGUGUCGUGUUCUCCUCAGGGACUAGGCGACGACGACUAUGCUCGACUAAAGCUAGGUGACAGAAUACAAAUGAUGAUUGCAAGGAAAUAAACCUAAACUAAACAUGGUAGUUCCUGAAGAUCAUCGCCAAAGAAAAUGCAAAAUAAGCAAAGAGAUAUUCAGAUUUUCUAUACUCUCUUUUUGGCAAUUUCCAUAUUACUCAAAGAAUUUAAUGCUAACACAAGAAAACAUACGGCUAGGAAAUUAAAAAGACAAGAACAUAUAUAUAACUAUCUAACAUGAACAGUGGGAACAAACAAGAACUUGAGCUAAUACAUGGACUACAAAACUGAAUAUAUUUCUGCAGAAAAGGGAAGACACUGUGACGACGCAUACAUGAACUGGAAUUACGUAAAUUCAGUGCAAGUGACAAGCAUACAUGUACCACACGGUUGACAAAUAUAACAUUCACGAACUUAUUUUAUAUAGAUGCAUCAACUAGUCAGAUCCCAGAAAACAAACACUAUAUUAUACAAGUACUAAACAGAGCAAACAGCAGUUUACAUGUACUCUUCAAAUCUGAACCUUACAAGUCUUGAACAUCUCUCAAUAGUAUAGAAUUUGAGAGAGAGAGAGAGAGAGAGAGAAGGCAACAGCAGGAGGUUGAGAGAGAAGAAGCAGUAGCAGGGGGCGUUGAGAGGAGGGAGAAGGAGCAGCGGGGCAAAGGAAGAUGGAGUAGCAGCAACAACUUGGAGUUUGGAGAUGGAGAAGGAGCAGAACAGCAGCGUGGUAGGGGAAAGUAGAAGAGCAGCAACAGUAGGGAUUCAGAGAGGAGGCGAGCUUGGACAAGGAUAGCAGCAGGGAGAGUUGUAGACGAGCAACAGCAGUAGCGCAGGGGAGAAGGAGCAGCAGACAGGGAUUCAUAGAAGCGGGGAAGAAGGGAAGAAGAAGCAGCGGCGGUGUGUCUGGCCGGGCGCGCCGGCUGGAGGGAGAGGUCGCGUGAGGUUGGCACUGGUGGCUGGCGCUGUGAUGGAUGGAUGAUGGUGUGGGUGGUGGAUGGCGCGGGUGAUGGUGGAGCAACGAGGUCGCGGAAGCGCGCCGCCAUGAUGGCCUGGCCGCGGCGGCGGCCGGAGGUGGGAGAAGAAGUGGUGAGGGGGAGAGAGAUGGAGAUGCCAGCUCCCUUUGGGAAUGGAGGCUGCUAGGGAUUUUGAUCCCCUCCGAUCAGAUCUGAAUGUUUUCACUUUGGCCCUCCUUCUUCCUUCUUUUGGCACAAGAUGAUCCCUCCACUUCUUAAGCUAGCCCCCCUAAGCUUUAAUCUUCUUCAAGCUUGAGUCCCUCUUUCUUCUCUUCUUGCCCGUGAUCUUGUUCCUCAAUUCUUUCUAGACAGGAACUUGUAGAUUAUAGUGCCUUGUCGCACUUUUCUGCAAAAGAAACACAAUGACUAGUAAAUGAUUCAUUAUAUGAUUUCCAUGCAAAUAUUCAAUAUUUCACAGCAAGAAUUGAUGGUCAUAUCUCAAUAAACCGCAUAUUUGAGUGCCAAAAGAUGUAUAUGAAAUGUGCUUAUCA
rnacentral:lncRNA from 1 species